GAUGAACGCUGGCGGCGUGCCUAAUACAUGCAAGUCGAGCGAACGGACGAGAAGCUUGCUUUUCUGAUGUUAGCGGCGGACGGGUGAUUAACACGUGGAUAACCUACCUAUAAGACUGGGAUAACUUCGGGAAACCGGAGCUAAUACCGGAUAAUAUUUUGAACCGCAUGGUUCAAAAGUGAAAGACGGUUUUGCUGUCACUUAUAGAUGGAUCCUCGCUGCAUUAGCUAGUUGGUAGGGUAAAGGCUCACCAAGGCAACGAUGCGUGGCUGACCUGAGAGGAUGAUCGGCCACACUGGGACUGAGACACGGCCCAGACUCCUACGGGAGGCAGCAGUAGGGAAUAUUGGACAAUGGGCGAAAGCCUGAUCCAGCCAUGCCGCGUGGGUGAAGAAGGCCUUCGGGUUGUAAAGCCCUUUUGUCAGGGAAGAAAAAGUGUGGGCUAAUACCCGGAGCGGAUGACGGUACCGGAAGAAUAAGCAACGGCUAACUUCGUG
rnacentral:rRNA from 1 species